CAAUAGCGUAUAUUAAAGUUGUUGCGGUUAAAAGCUCGUAGUUGGAUCUCUGUUAGAGACGGCCGGUCCGCCUUUUGGGCGUGUAUCUGGUUCGGCUUUGGCAUCCUCUUGGGGAACGUACUGCGCUUGAUUGCGUGGUGCGGAAUUCAAGACUUUACUUUGAGGAAAUUGGAGUGUUUACAGCAGGCAAACGCCCUGAACACAUUAGCAUGGAAUAAUAAUAUAGGACCUCGGUUCUAUUUUGUUGGUUUCUAGAGCUGAGGUAAUGAUUAAUAGGGAUAGUUGGGGGCAUUAGUAUUUAAUUGUCAGAGGUGAAAUUCUUGGAUUUAUGAAAGACUAACUACUGCGAAAGCAUUUGCCAAGGAUGUUUUCAUUAAUCAAGAACGAAAGUUAGGGGAUCGAAGAUGAUCAGAU
rnacentral:rRNA from 1 species